UGGGGAAUAUUGGACAAUGGGCGAAAGCCUGAUCCAGCCAUGCCGCGUGUGUGAAGAAGGUCUUCGGAUUGUAAAGCACUUUAAGUUGGGAGGAAGGGCAUUAACCUAAUACGUUAGUGUUUUGACGUUACCGACAGAAUAAGCACCGGCUAACUCUGUGCCAGCAGCCGCGGUAAUACAGAGGGUGCAAGCGGUAAUCGGAAUUACGGGGCGUAAAGCGCGCUUAGGUGGUUUGUUAAGUUGGAUGUGAAAUCCCCGGGCUCAACCUGGGAACUGCAUUCAAAACUGACUGACUAGAGUAUGGUAGAGGGUGGUGGAAUUUCCUGUGUAGCGGUGAAAUGCGUAGAUAUAGGAAGGAACACCAGUGGCGAAGGCGACCACCUGGACUAAUACUGACACUGAGGUGCGAAAGCGUGGGGAGCAAACA
rnacentral:rRNA from 1 species